rnacentral:rRNA from 1 species
GACGAACGCUGGCGGCGUGCUUAACACAUGCAAGUCGAGCGGUAAGGCCCUUUCGGGGGUACGACGAGCGGCGAACGGGUGAGUAACACGUGGGUGACCUGCCCUCAGCUCUGGGAUGAGCCUGGGGAAACCGGGUCUAAUACCGGGAUAUGACUCCAUGACGCAUGUUGUGGGGUGGAAAGCCUUGUGCGGCUGAGGAUGGGCCCGCGGCCUAUCAGCUUGUUGGUGGGGNGAUGGCCUACCAAGGCGACGACGGGUAGCCGGCCUGAGAGGGCGACCGGCCACACUGGGACUGAGAUACGGCCCAGACUCCUACGGGAGGCAGCAGUGGGGAAUCUUGCGCAAUGGGCGAAAGCCUGACGCAGCGACGCCGCGUGAGGGAUGACGGCCU